rnacentral:rRNA from 1 species
UCGAGAAUUUUUCUCAAUGGGGGAAACCCUGAAGGAGCGACGCCGCGUGGAGGAUGAAGGUCUUCGGAUUGUAAACUCCUGUCAUUGGUGAACAAGGUUCGCCGGUUAACUGCCGGUUGGGCUUGAUAGUAACCGAAGAGGAAGAGACGGCUAACUCUGUGCCAGCAGCCGCGGUAAUACAGAGGUCUCAAGCGUUGUUCGGAUUUAUUGGGCGUAAAGCGUGCGUAGGCGGCGGGGUAAGUGAGGUGUGAAAUCCCGGAGCUUAACUCCGGAACUGCACUUUAUACUGCCUUGCUCGAGGGCUGGAGAGGAGACUGGAAUUUACGGUGUAGCAGUGAAAUGCGUAGAGAUCGUAAGGAAGACCAGUGGCGAAGGCGAGUCUCUGGAAAGCUGCUGACGCUGAGGCACGAAGGCCAGGGGAGCAAACGG